AACACCACCCCAGGAGAACCUGCCACAUCUAGCAGCAGACCUGUGGCACCUUCUGGAACUGCUCUUUCCACUACCUCUACCUCCUGAGUUCAGCAACUACCCCCUCCCUGCCUAUGUCCUCUGGCAGAAGCACAGAAGAGGCCACUUCAUCAGCUUUGCCUGAGAAGCCAGGUGACAGUGAGGUCUCAGCAUCAGCAGCCUCACUUCUAGAGGAGCAACAGUCAGCCCAGCUUCCCCAGGCUCCUCCGCAAACUUCUGACUCUGUUAAAAAAGAACCUGCUCUUGCCCAGCCUGCAGUCAGCAACUCUGGCACUGCAGCAUCUAGUACUAGUCUUGUAGCACUUUCUGCAGAGGCUACCCCAACCACCACCGGGGUCCCUGAUGCCAGGUCGGAGGCAGUACCACCUGCUUCCUCCUUUUCUGUGCCUGGGCAGACUGCUGUCACAGCAGCUGCUAUCUCAAGUGCAGGCCCUGUGGCCGUCGAAACAUCAAG
rnacentral:sRNA from 1 species